rnacentral:lncRNA from 1 species
GGCAGGGCGGACCUCCAUAGGUUACUGGACAAGCCCAAGAGCCCCGGAUGCAGCUGUACCGCCCUCAGGCGGCGGCGACUGGACCUCGCCUGGCGGCCGGCGCGGCGCUCCCUACGAAGGCGCCUGCGCAAAGCCAAGAAGUGGCGGCAGCUGAGGGGCAAGCGCCCCGUGGUGAGGAGGCAGCUGAGGGACGUGUUCCCGCUGCUUAGUUUGGUCGACAACCUGGUGGGCGUCUGUAAGGGACCUUCAGCCUUAUGGGAAUCAUGUCUGAGAUUAUCGGCCACAACCAGGGUGAGUUCUCCAUCAACCCUGGAAGCAAGACGCAUCCGUGCACCCACUCCCGCUUCAUCCUCCUCAAGUAGCAUGAAAGGAUACUUUGGAUCCUUGGAAGACACAUAUCUUGGUCUCUUCUUUCAUUUGAGUUGAUUCAUCUCCUUUGCUGGCUUCUUUUUCUCUAACCACUACUUACAUCUGUUGCUUUCCAAGUCUUGACCUCAGCUCUUCAUGCAAAUGCCUUCUUGUGUAACCUCAUUCAUUCCUGUAGUGUAAUUAUCAUCAGUAAUACAACCCUUAUGUCUUCAUCUUCAGAACAUGAUGAUUUGGGGAUUAGAUAUCUCUAGCUGAUCUCCCCCCAGACAUCUCAUGAUGAAGAGUUUGGUUCUAAAGUUAGAUAAUCCAGGUUUGAAUCCUUUCGUCACAAUUUACCAGUUGCGUAUUAGUUGAAGAUAUUAUUUAGAAUUAAUUUCUAUGUGUUUUGGUUUCCUUAUCUCUAAAAUGAUAAAAUAAUGGCAUAUACAUCAUAAGGUGGUUUUGAGGCUUAAAUAAAGUACUAUAUAAAAGUGCCUAAGACGAAAUA